CCCAGGACUUCUACUUCAACAACAAAUGUGGUUUUGGUUCCAAAUAAUCCAUAGUUAUAUUCAAAUACCUCCGUUUUGUUCGUGCGUUCAGGUCACUAUCCGAAGGGUAACGCGUGAGCGCAUUUCGUGACAAUUUUUUCUAAAAUAUUCCAUUACCGUACUUAGAAGCAUGUCAAACGCUGUUUAACCUGUUAGGGCUAGGGGGCAGUAUUGACACGGCUGGAUAAAAAAACGUACCCGAUUUAAUCUGGUUACUACUCCUGCCCAGUAACUAGAAUAUGCAUAUAAUUAUUGGCUUUGGAUAGAAAACACUCCAAAGUUUCUAAAACUGUUUGAAUAGUGUCUGUGAGUAUAACAGAACUCAAAUGGCAGGUCAAAACCUGAGAAGAUUCUGUACAGGAAGUACCCUGUCUGACCAUUUCUUGGCCUUCUUUGCCAUCUCUAUCCAUUACAAAGGAUCUCUGCUGUUACGUGACACUUCCUACGGCUGCGAUAGGCUCUCAGAAGGCGGCAAAAAGCUGAAUCGUGGCUUUGCAGGCUCUGGCUGAAAAAAAGUAGCGCGUUUGGGUAGUGGCUGGUUACAGUACUGUGAGACUCAGGCGCGUGCCCGCGUCGACCGAAUGCUUUGUUUUCUUUCCUCUGUUUACCUAAACGGAGAUUCCCGGGCGGAAUAUUAUCGCUUUUUUACGAGAAAAAUGGCAUAAAAAUGGAUUUUAAACAGCGGUUGACAUGCUUCGAAGUACGGUAAUGGAAUAUUUAUACAUUUUUUGUCACGAAUUGCGCCAUGCUCGUAACCCUGAUUUACCAUUUCGGAUAGUGUCUGGAACGCACGAACAAAACGCAGCUAUUUGGAUAUAACGAUGGAUUAUUUUGGACCAAACCAACAUUUGUUAUUGAAGUAGCAGUCCUGGGAGUGCAUUCUGACGAAGACAACAAAGAGGGAGAGAAACCAAAAGUCCACCAUCGCCUCAUGGGUUUCCCAGUCGCGGCUGGCAUGGGUAUCGUACCAGCAUCUGUAGCAACGCAGUUUGCACUGCAAUGCAGUGUCUUAGACCGCUGCGCCACUCUGUUAGGAAAAUAUGGCCUGUACAACGUGACCGUUUCCACACCCUAAUCACAGUCAGAAGACAGUUGAAGAAACUUGUGUGGACUUAUGGAAAGGCUCGGCCCAGAUCAAAGCUGUCGAGACAUUCAAUGACGUCAUCUUCACAGACUAAUCAACUCUGGCCCUUGAGCAAUUUGCUCAAAAUUGCUACAGAAAAAAGGAAGAAGAUCAAGCAAGCCGAUUCCCAAGCAUCUGCUCAAACUCCAUGUGUGGGGGGCAAUUUCUCGCCAGAGACCAGGCCCAUAUUUGAUUUGAUGGUAUCAUGGCUCGAGAUUUUUUUGAGGAAGAAAUCAUCAAGAGAUAUGCUGGACCCUAUGUCCGAGAGACAAUGACCCAAAACACACUGCCUCCUGGGUUUGCAUUGCAAAUGAGGGCUUUUACCCGCGGUCAUGGAGCUGGGUGGAAGUGCAACUAAAAUGUAGUUUAAAUAAACAUCUGCAUUUUGAAUGUCUUUUUUGUCGUUAUUUUAUUAUCGAAAGCAUAAAGAUGUUGAUGAAGAAAUACUGUACUGCUGUUUUGAGUUAGAAAUGUAACACUUUAGAGUACUUAAGCAUUGAAUAAAAGUUGGGGGAUGUUCACUCCUACAGUAGC
rnacentral:lncRNA from 1 species